rnacentral:rRNA from 1 species
CCUACGGGAGGCAGCAGUGAGGAAUAUUGGUCAAUGGACGCGAGUCUGAACCAGCCAAGUCGCGUGAAGGAAGACGGCCCUAUGGGUUGUAAACUUCUUUUGUACGAGAGUAAAUCGCGUCACGUGUGCCUCUUUGAAAGUACCCUACGAAUAAGGAUCGGCUAACUCCGUGCCAGCAGCCGCGGUAAUACGGAGGAUUCAAGCGUUAUCCGGAUUUAUUGGGUUUAAAGGGUGCGUAGGCGGGUUGUUAAGUUAGCGGGGAAAUUUCGGGGCUCAACCCCCGAAUUGCCGUUGAUACUGGCGGCCUUGAGUGUGGUUGAGGUAGGCGGAAUGCGUGGUGUAGCGGUGAAAUGCAUAGAGAUCACGCAGAACCCCGAUUGCGAAGGCAGCUUACCA